GACGUAUUGUCGGGGUCGGUUAACAAAGGUGUGUGCAACUGUUCUAUUGGAAUGUUUGUAAAGUUCUCCUGAAAGAUUUUUGGGAUUUUCUUUCGUAAAAUUAACUGAUUGACUCCAAAAAUGGCUGGUGCUAUUAAAGGGUCAACUUUUUUAAAAGGUCUUGCAGUCGAAAAAAAUCCCCACCUAAAACUUACUGCCAAUUAUCAAAAACUCCUUUACGCUCUUGCUAAACUACCAGAAACAUCAGCUUAUAGAAGACACACUGAAAGUAUUACAAAAGAAAGACUUCAUCAUGUUCAAACGACUCCUAACAUCGAAGAGCUUGAAAAAAAGAUUGACUGUGGUCAAGUUGAAGAGUUAAUUGUACAAGCUCGAAAUGAAACAAUGUUAGCUCGUAGAAUGAGCGUUUGGAAACCAUGGGAACCUCUAGCUGAGCCACCACCACCAAAUCAGUGGACUUGGCCACCAACAAAGUAGAAGGAGAAAGAAAUAGAGAAGAGUGGGAGAGGUGUGGUGAUGCGGUUUUGUGCAAGUGAGAUGAUGUGAGUGAACAGAGCACGAUGUGUGUGGAGGUAGAGAGUAACGAAGGAAAGGAGGAGAGCUCGAGUUCUGAGAGAACGCGCGACUGUCGCACUUGCCUCCGAGACAUCGUUGACGCAACACUGCGCGCGUGUUUCUCGUCGAGGAUGUAAACAAAGUUACGAUCGUGUGUUCAUGUUUACGCAUGUUUUCCCUUUCUUUCUUAUUGUUGUUAUUAAACGACAAUCAUAUUAACGGGAACAGUUACAAGGAUAUUGAAGAACCAUUUGAUGUCUUUAAAAUAAAAUCGAUAAUUGACGGAUUUAAAGUUGGCUGCAAUAAGCCGAGUAAUCGGGCAGAUUGUUGCUGUUGUGGAGCGGUUUUUACACAGUGAAUAGUAUUGUUCGGCUUUGUUCGUUUGGAUCACCGUGGACCUUUUACUGUCGAGAACACGCCGCGGGUACAGUGAACCCCUAGCGUUCGUUGUCGGUCUAUCUGUGUCGGAUUGAAAUAUCGGUGGCGCCGUGGGAAAGGGAUCACCGGCACGCCGAAGGCUCCAUUAUCGGUAAGUGUCGAUUUCAUUUGUAAUGCCCUGAAAUUCGCUUUCGGACUCUAAUGAACUAGAGUUAUCAAUUUCUGCAUGAUUAUCCGCGAGAAUAUCUAAUCAUUUGAAUGAGUCUGCAUUCAUUAACGUAUUGCGAAGUUAAUUCAUCAACUACUAGACAUGCUUCUACAGCAGUAGACGAUUAAUUUAUGGGUAUUAGAGACAUUUUUUGCGUGCGUGUUAUUGUAUCAGAAGGUCUUGAUCAACCACAAAUGUUUCUUUCAAAUACUUUGUAAACAAUAACAUCUGUUAUUACUAAUACACAUUACAUAUUUCAUUCGAAUACCAAGUAUUUUUAUGACCCUAGUGUUGAUAAAAAAAAUUUGUAGUUUUCUAGUUGAGUUACAAAAUUGAUAUUGAAUUGACAAUUCGGAGUAGUUAUAGAGAUAAAUAU
rnacentral:misc_RNA from 1 species